rnacentral:rRNA from 1 species
GUACACACCGCCCGUCACACCAGGGGAGUUGGCUCUACCUUAAGCCGCCGGGCUAACCCCGCAAGGGGAGGCAGGCGUCCACGGUCGGGUCAGCGACUGGGGUGAAGUCGUAACAAGGUAGCCGUAGGUGAACCUGCAGAAGGAUCA